AAAAAAAAAGGAAGCCCGGAAGGCAUGCCACCUAAGAAUUGCAUAUAUUUUAUCCUCUCUUCAAUCCGUUGAUUUCUCGUUUCUCGCAACACCUGCAAGCUCCUCUGCUUGCAUGCGAAUGGCUAAACAAAUGGCAACGAGUGUCUCAACGCUUCUAGUUGCCCUCAUUGCUUCAUUUACGUGUGCUGGAGGUGACGAUAGUCAGAUUACCACCACUCUUGACGGACCUUUCAAGCCUUACACAAAACCUCUCGACAAGAGCUUCCGAGGAAACGCCAUUGACUUGCCUCCCACUGACCCUCGUGUUCAGAGAAUAGUCCACGGCUUUGAGCCUGAGCAAAUCUCUGUCUCUCUUUCUUCAACCUAUGACUCUGUUUGGAUAUCUUGGAUCACAGGGGAGUUCCAAAUUGGUGACAACAUAGAAUCAUUAGAUCCAAAAUCUGUAGCAAGCGUUGUUCAAUAUGGAAUGCUGCCAGAUCCUUUGAUUCAUCAGGCAACAGGAUAUUCCCAAGUUUACAACCAACUUUAUCCUUUUGAAGGCCUUCAAAACUACACUUCCGGAAUCAUACACCAUGUUCGUCUCAGAGGUUUGAAACCAGACACCUUAUAUUAUUAUCAGUGCGGAGAUCCUUCAAUACGGGCAGUGAGUGAAAUCUAUUAUUUUAGGACAAUGCCUGAUUCCAAUCCCAGAAGUUACCCCGGUAGAAUUGCAAUUGUUGGGGACCUUGGGCUCACUUAUAAUACAACUUCAACAGUCAGCCAUAUGAUAAGCAACCGUCCUGAUCUUAUUCUCUUGGUCGGUGAUGUAACUUAUGCAAACUUGUAUCUGACUAAUGGAACUGGGGCUGAUUCCUAUUCUUUCUCAUUUUCGAGCACUCCGAUUCAUGAAACCUAUCAGCCUCGUUGGGAUUAUUGGGGAAGAUUUAUGCAGCCUCUAGUGUCUAAAGUUCCGAUAAUGGUUGUAGAAGGGAACCAUGAGUAUGAAGAGCAGGCUGAAAAUAAGACUUUUGUUGCUUACAGUUCUCGAUUUGCAUUCCCUCACAACGAGAGUGGAUCGCCAUCGACAUUCUAUUAUUCUUUCAAUGCAGGUGGAAUACAUUUCAUCAUGGUUGGUGCUUACAUUUCCUAUAAUAAAUCAGGGGAGCAAUACAAGUGGUUGAAAAGAGACCUGGCAAAAGUCAAUAGAGAAGUGACUCCAUGGUUGGUGGCGACAUGGCAUCCUCCUUGGUAUAGCACCUAUACUGCACAUUACAGAGAAGCCGAAUGCAUGAGGGUAGCAAUGGAAGAAUUACUAUACAAGUAUGGUGUUGACAUAGUCUUCAAUGGACAUGUUCAUGCCUAUGAGAGAUCAAACCGAGUAUAUAACUACACUCUGGACCCCUGUGGUCCUGUAUACAUAACAGUAGGCGAUGGUGGCAAUCGAGAGAAAAUGGCAAUUACUCAUGCUGAUGAAGAUGGAAACUGUCCACCACCAUCAAGCACUGUAGAUAAAAUAUUGGGUGGUUUCUGUGCAUUCAAUUUCACAUCAGGGCCAGCAGCGGGUAAAUUCUGUUGGGACCGGCAGCCUGAUUAUAGCGCUUACCGUGAAAGCAGCUUUGGCCAUGGUGUUUUAGAGGUGAAAAAUGAGACACAUGCUUUGUGGACAUGGCACCGUAAUCAGGACAUGUAUAACAGUGCUGGAGAUAUAAUUUUUAUAGUAAGACAACCUGAGAGGUGCCCAGUUAAACCAAGUCUUCACUGAUCAAAGCCAACGAUGACACUAAAGGCUUCACCUAUCAAAGUCAACGAUGACGCCAAUGCCUUUACCCAUCACACUGACGACAACGAUACAACAUCUAGGAUUGGCAACCUAUAUGCAAUAGUGAAAAGACAAGAAUACGUGAUCAAUUGCUAAAAAGGGGUGUACAAGUUCCAUGAGGCAUUCAAAUUUCAAUUUCACAUGACGCUUCAGAUGAAAAUGGACAUCAUGACUGUCUUUAGGGAGAAACUCAUGAUAACUUAGAGAACAAUAUUUAGGACAACCUGUUUUAGGCACUUAUUGGAUAUAGAGGAGCCAAAGUUUAGUGUUGUUUUUAUGCAUGUACUGUUAUUUUGUAUGAUCAACUGGAGGGAACCAAGUGUGAGAAAUGUGGUUUAAAUUAAACUGUGUUAAGCUUUGAUUUAA